AGCGAACGCUGGCGGCAGGCUUAACACAUGCAAGUCGAACGGGCGUAGCAAUACGUCAGUGGCAGACGGGUGAGUAACGCGUGGGAACGUACCUUUUGGUUCGGAACAACUGAGGGAAACUUCAGCUAAUACCGAAUAAGCCCUUACGGGGAAAGAUUUAUCGCCGAAAGAUCGGCCCGCGUCUGAUUAGCUUGUUGGUGAGGUAACGGCUCACCAAGGCGACGAUCAGUAGCUGGUCUGAGAGGAUGAUCAGCCACAUUGGGACUGAGACACGGCCCAAACUCCUACGGGAGGCAGCAGUGGGGGAAUAUUGGACAAUGGGCGGAAAGACCUGAUCCAGCCAUGCCGCGUGAGUGAUGAAGGCCCUAGGGUUGUAAAGCUCUUUUGUGCGGGAAGAUAAUGACGGUACCGCAAG
rnacentral:rRNA from 1 species